AAGCAUAUCACCGAAGCUGUGGACUUAUGAGUUGUUCAUAGAGUUUAUUGAAACUGUAUGAACAACUUGUAAGUGGUAGAGGAGCAUUGUGUACGGAGCGAAGCUGUACCGUAAGGAGCAGUGGACUGUACAGAAGAGAGAAUGCCGGUAUGAGUAACGAAAAAAGGAGUGAGAAUCUCCUUCGCCGAAAGUCUAAGGAUUCCUGGGGAAGGCUCGUCCUCCCAGGGUUAGUCGGGACCUAAGCUGAGGCCGAAAGGCGUAGGUGAUGGAAAAUCUGUAAAGAUUCAGAUACCACUGUAAAUUGAUUGAGUGAAGUGGUAACGCGGCAAAGAGAGUGGAGCGUGUGACUGGAAGAGCACGUAUAAGCUAAGGAGUUAGGGUAAGGAGGUAAAUCCCUUUACCCGCUAAUAACUUUUAGUGAUGUGGAGCCAAAAGAGGUGAAGCCACUUAAUAAGCCGCCAAGAAAAACCACUAACGAGAUUUACAGUGCCCGUACCGCAAACCGACACAGGUAGACGGGAAGAGAAUUCUAAGGCGCGCGAGAGAACCCUUGUUAAGGAACUCGGCAAAAUGACCCCGUAACUUCGGGAGAAGGGGUACCCAUUAGCACUAGCUGGUGGGUCGCAGUGAAAAGAUCCAAGCGACUGUUUAUCAAAAACACAGGUCUCUGCUAAGUCGUAAGACGAAGUAUAGGGGCUGACGCCUGCCCGGUGCUGGAAGGUCAAGGAGAAGGCUUAGUGCUAGCCACGAAGGUCUGAACCUAAGCCCCAGUAAACGGCGGCCGUAACUAUAACGGUCCUAAGGUAGCGAAAUUCCUUGUCGGGUAAGUUCCGACCUGCACGAAUGGCGUAACGACUUGGAUGCUGUCUCAACAAGGGACUCGGUGAAAUUAAAUUGCCUGUGAAGAUGCAGGCUACCUGCGACAGGACGGAAAGACCCCGUGGAGCUUUACUGCAGCCUGAUAUUGGGUUUUGAUGUAGAAUGUACAGGAUAGGUGGGAGACUUUGAAACUGGCAUGCCAAUGUCAGUGGAGUCGCUGGUGGGAUACCACCCUUUCUACAGCGGAAUUCUAACUGGAGGCCAUAAACUGGUCACAGGACAUUGUCAGGCGGGCAGUUUGACUGGGGCGGUCGCCUCCCAAACAGUAACGGAGGCGCUCAAAGGUUCCCUCAGUGCGGAUGGAAAUCGCACGAAGAGUGUAAAGGCAGAAGGGAGCUUAACUGCAAGACAGACAAGUCGAGCAGGUACGAAAGUAGGACUUAGUGAUCCGGCGGUAUAGUGUGGAAUUGCCGUCGCUCAACGGAUAAAAGUUACCCCGGGGAUAACAGGCUUAUCUCCCCCAAGAGUUCACAUCGACGGGGAGGUUUGGCACCUCGAUGUCGGCUCAUCGCAUCCUGGAGCUGAAGCAGGUUCCAAGGGUUUGGCUGUUCGCCAAUUAAAGCGGUACGCGAGCUGGGUUCAGAACGUCGUGAGACAGUUCGGUCCCUAUCCGUCGCAGGCGAAAGAUACUUGAGAAGAGCUGUCCCCAGUACGAGAGGACCGGGAUGGACACACCGAUGGUGAAUCAGUUGUUCCACCAGGAGCAUAGCUGAGCAGCUAAGUGUGGAAAAGAUAAGCGCUGAAAGCAUCUAAGCGUGAAACAGACUUCAAGAUUAGGUAUCUCACUUUGUUAAGAAGGUAAGAUCCCUUAAAGAUGAUAAGGUAGAUAGGCCAGAGGUGUAAGUGUAGUAAUACAUUAAGCUAACUGGUACUAAUAGAUCGAGGGCUUAAUCAUU
rnacentral:rRNA from 1 species